UGGGGUUUGUGUGCAUUUAUAUUGUGGGUAUAGGUGUGCUGAUUGGCUUAUUGUGUGUGUAAUUAUUAAAUAUGUGUGUAUGUUUUGUUGUUGUCAGUUUAUUGUGUGUGUAGUUUAUGGGAUAGUUGUGCCGGUUAAAGUGUGUGAAAUAUGGAAUGCACUUGUGUUUUGUGUGCAUAUAUUGUGUUGGUAUGUUAAUGUGUUUGUGUGUUAAUGAGUGAGUGUAUAAUAAUGUGAGAGUACAUGUGUGUGUGUGCCCCCAAUGAGCCCCAUGCCCCAGGGGCAGUGAGAGUGGCCCUUAUUGUGUCCCUCUGAACUCCCAAGUCAAUGCAGUUUUUAACCACUGGCUUGUGGUACUGUGGGAAUCACAAGGGGCUGCCAGAGUUGGCUCCUCUGCACACUGUACAGUGCUAAAUCAGAGUAUAUGCUGAGACAGAAAACGCUGAAGAUUGGAGCAAGUACAGUAUCUGUGCGCCCCCUAGCGUAAGGCUCUCGCCAGCCUGCGACCAAAACUACAACGAGGGGGGAAUAAUGUCUCUUAAAGGGGAACGACUUUUUGGCUGGCUCCUGCGAGCGAGCAAGAAACUUCUACGAAUAUUAAUGUGAUUAAGCGCAAAGGAUCAGCGACGAGCUGACUCGCGGAAGGACUGGAGCGCCCCAGCGUCAGGGAGCGCUUUGUCCACGUUGCGAGUCAUUGCUGCGGAUUCAGGGCUGAGCUGCUCCCUGGACUCAAUGAGACGAGCCGUGUGUGCGCCUGAGCGGGCGCUACAUAGAAGCCUUGGUACAUCAGCUCGUACAGAAGCACAGAAAGCAGCCGGUACACAAGGAGAACCGGAGCACAAGAGCUGAGAGAGCUUCAUGCCUAAGGAUGCUGGGGGAGCCCGUGGCAAAGACAGCUGGGGGGACCCAAGUUGGAAAUUCCUGCCCUUGCUUGAAAGACUUGCUAUAAUAAGUCCUUGGCACUCCACCAGCCACUGGAUUAAAACUAACCAACGUCGGGCAGCAGCAACAUUUGGAAAUCACAGGACUUUUAUCAACUUCCUGCCACAUUUCAGCACUUAAUCUCUGGUACACGGCUUCCCUGCUGACAGAAUGGAAUAGGAAGACUAAAAGAUAGGCAAGACCAUUUUCCAUUCAAGCAGAAUCAGCACAGGGCUCAAUGAAACAUUUUUUCCCGCACCAGUUUCUCUCUGAUGCACCAAAGACAGAGUGGAAAUACAGAAGAUUGGAGUUUAAAGCAAUACACCGUUAUGAAAAUAGAUUCAACAUAUCUCCUAAGUGGAAGCCUACCAUAAAAAUAUACUCUUAAAUGUUGCCAAAACUCGCUUGUACUGCAUGAGACACUGGAGGAUUCCUGGAAUAUCACAUGCUUUCAAAUGGGGUCACUGACCCCAUUAAAAAAAACAAAUGCUCUGUAAGGCUACAAAGGUUCUCUAGCGCAGACAUCCCCAGCAUUGUGGAUCCCUGAAUUCCUCCUGUGGUUGGCAACUUCCCUGGUGCUUUCUCUUGACACCGCCAUGCAUUCGGAAAGCACUGAAAUAAUAAUCCAACCUAUGGAAGUGUGUAGCCUGCCUGAAAGGACUCCUGUAUCUAAGAGAGGUCCCUGCAAUAGGAUGAAAGGAAGAGGAUGAGUGGUCUGUAGUAAGGAUUCCUGAGUUCCUGGAGCCACUGUUUAUAAAGAAAGACAAAAACGUCCCUAAUGCCAUUAAACUAGAAUCCGCCAUUGAUCAUGGUUCUUUCCAAGAAGAAUCUGCAAACAUGGAUCUGGAGUGAUUUCAUACUUUCAAUAUUGCUUUCAGUGCAUAGAAAAGCAGACUACAACUUGCCUUUGGAAGAUCAAGGUCAACAGCCAGCCACAUAAAAGACAAAUGAAGAACUGAAAGCUUUGCAGGUCUUUACAUGAUUUAUACCUCCCAGAUUACCUUAAAGGAAAACUAUACCC